ensembl:lncRNA
GUGGGAGCGCGGGGGCUCGCUGGGUGCACCCAAACGCCAGGAUCCCGGAGCCUGGUUUGUUCUCCCCUCUGGCCUGGCUCUGCUGGGGAAUUUCCACGGGGCUGUGGCAGGAGCUGAGGGACCCUCAUGUGCUUCCACACGAAUCGCCAGGCACAAAGCGGUGCUUGGCUCCGGCCGCACAUGUUGGCGGGGGGCUGUGCAGCACCCACGCAGCCGAGCAUCCCUCGCUCCCCUCGCUCCACACCUGCGUGGGACAGACCCGAGAUGCUUUGCAGCAGCCCGGGGGACCGCCAGGACUGCAGUUCUGUGCUGUUCUGUACCCCGGUGCUGAGCAUGCAGCGUGGUGGAAGCCAUCCUGCCAUGAACGCGUGGGCGCCAACGCUGGCCGCACGCUUUGCAGGCAGAACUGCAGCCCUACACGGGGAGUUUGCUCCGUGUUUGGAAUCACAGAAGGAAAUUAUGCAGUUACAAGGAUGGCAUAAUUGAGAGAACGCUUGACUAGCGCAAUUUUCUUAUGUGCCUGUCAGCAAAUCACUUAAUCUGUGCUGUGCCAAGUUUCCCAUCCGUUAAAUGGGGAAUGAUUAUCCCCCUGCUUCCUAGGAGGGAGCGCGAAUAAUACCCACUAAUGACUGUGGAGGUACUGGAAGGUGGCCACGGAGACGCGCAGUGACACACGGAGUAGCUGCAGAACUGGAGAGAGCGAGCAGCAUUUCAAAACCAACCUUCAGAAACGGAUUCCUCCUCCUGCUGCUUUUUUUUUUUUUUAAAUGAAUUUAUUAAAGAAGAUCCCAAAAUAGGUUCGCCUCUCCCGCUCCGGAUUUUUAAAGCUUUCUCAGGCAUUCCUGGGCCAGGACACCCCGGGUCCUAUGUGCGAGAACAGGAAAAUGCGGCCGAGAAGCGGCACCCCGGGCAGCGAGGAGCUCUGCCUCCGCCCGUCCGACGGCCCCCCCGGCCCCCCCAUCGGCAGGGCCCGGGGAGCGGGGGGGGGCCGAUGCCCGCCGCCUCCCGGGAGCUGCAGGCAGCUCGGGGUCACCUUGGCCGCAUCGAGCCGGGGGGGGGCCACCGUGGGCCGCCGCCUCCUCCGCUCGGGAGCCCCGGGGGGGGGCCCCGCUGCCGCCCCCCCGCCUCCGCUCCCGCUCCGGCCGCAUCCGGCCCGGCCAGGGGCAGCCGCUGCAGGCUCCCCCCCCCGGGGGACGUGGGGAUGCUGCGAGCAGCCAGGUUCCCAGAAGAUCUGGAUCCCUGCCCUGCAGAGGUGGAUGGCAGCAGAAGCUGGCUGGAUUUUUGUUGGACGUGGCUCCGGAGCAGCUCCCUGCCUGCGCAGAGCCCAGCCGCCGUUCGAGCUCGCGGGGUUGCUGCCUGAGACCGCACCAUGCGGGCUGAGCGAGUGGAUCAGCGAGUGGAUCAGGCCCGGGAGAGACAGAAAUGAGCAGAAAUCCCCCACUGCAGAGGCUGCUUCUGCAGGAGACUCGGUGCCCCGUGGAAAGGUCUGCGCUUCGCAGUGCCUUUUUUGGUACAAUGCUGCCAACUCCCGUGUUCUGCUGCAGUGA